AUCGAGUGGCGAACGGGUGAGUAACGCGUGAGGAACCUGCCUCAAAGAGGGGGACAACAGUUGGAAACGACUGCUAAUACCGCAUAAGCCCACGACCCGGCAUCGGGAAGAGGGAAAAGGAGCAAUCCGCUUUGAGAUGGCCUCGCGUCCGAUUAGCUAGUUGGUGAGGUAACGGCCCACCAAGGCGACGAUCGGUAGCCGGACUGAGAGGUUGAACGGCCACAUUGGGACUGAGACACGGCCCAGACUCCUACGGGAGGCAGCAGUGGGGAAUAUUGCACAAUGGGGGAAACCCUGAUGCAGCGACGCCGCGUGGAGGAAGAAGGUCUUCGGAUUGUAAACUCCUGUUGUUGAGGAAGAUAAUGACGGUACUCAACAAGGAAGUGACGGCUAACUACGUGCCAGCAGCCGCGGUAAAACGUAGGUCACAAGCGUUGUCCGGAAUUACUGGGUGUAAAGGGAGCGCAGGCGGGAAGACAAGUUGGAAGUGAAAUCCAUGGGCUCAACCCAUGAACUGCUUUCAAAACUGUUUUUCUUGAGUAGUGCAGAGGUAGGCGGAAUUCCCGGUGUAGCGGUGGAAUGCGUAGAUAUCGGGAGGAACACCAGUGGCGAAGGCGGCCUACUGGGCACCAACUGACGCUGAGGCUCGAAAGUGUGGGUAGCAAACAGGAUUAGAUACCCUGGUAGUCCACACCGUAAACGAUGAUUACUAGGUGUUGGGAGAUUGACCCUCUCAGUGCCGCAGUUAACACAAUAAGUAAUCCACCUGGGGAGUACGACCGCAAGGUUGAAACUCAAAGGAAUUGACGGGGGCCCGCAC
rnacentral:rRNA from 1 species